rnacentral:rRNA from 1 species
CAACUUUCAACAAUGGAUCUCUUGGCUCUUGCAUCGAUGAAGAACGCAGCGAAAUGCGAUACGUAAUGUGAAUUGCAGAAUUCCGUGAAUCAUUGAAUCUUUGAACGCACCUUGCGCCCCUUGGUAUUCCGAGGGGCAUGCCUGUUUGAGUGUCAU